rnacentral:lncRNA from 1 species
UUAGCCUAAUUCAGUUCUACCUAGAACCAUCAGCAAACACUAAAUGUAUGUCAACAUUGGACUUCACUCAUGAUCCAAGACAUAACAUGUCAUGCUUUGACUCUGAUUAAAGAUAUUUGAAAUAGAUUAACACAGAAACAUAGGAUCUAUCAUACUCGAAGCAUCCACUUUUUAAACCUUGAUAUUUUGGUUCUUAUCACAAACUCUAAACAUGUGGCAGCAUAAGAUUUAUCCUCAACCUCGACUGAAACAGUUUUCAGUUCCGUCACUAACUCUGCUAGAAACUAACCUCUAAACUCUCAAAAUGUGUGGAGCAUCUCAUCCUUUAUAGCAAUCUGAUAUUGAAGAAAGCACUUCCUCCGGAAAAUUUAAUUUCCUUGAUACCUGAAGCAGAAUACUUAUCUACACAAGGGAGUGGUAACAUAUAAGAAAACUAACAUGAUAAGAUCAACGGAUUACCUCAGUCAGGAAAAAUGCAUACAUGUAUUCCCCUUCGUGCUUGUUUGCAACCUCCUCUCUUUGUUGCCAGGUUAAGUAAGACAAUCUGCAGUUAAAAAAACAAUAGGUGAAAAUCAUGAUUGUCUGCCCCAAUUGAUCGACCAAUGAUGGUCCGAUACAAAACAGAGGAAUAAAACAGCGACCAGGGUGAUCGUUCUAUGAAAUAUAUGAUAAUCUCAUAUACAUUCGUAGUACAAUCAAAAAUAAAAAUAUGAAUUAGAAGGAAAUGCAUUAUUUUCCAUUUUUUUAGUACUUCAGGAAUGUAGCAGGACAAGUUGUAUAACGUGACAUCAGACCAGCAACUUCCUUGAAUCAAGCAUGCUUAUAUCAUUUCAUAAUAUGAGCUUGCACACAAGACUCAAAUGGGAGCAUGAGGUAGGCCGUUUCUUCUAGCUAGUUAUAAGAUUGAUGUGGUGUAUUGAUAAAAAUAUAAUGGAAUUAUCACCAUGAACUAUACCCUAUGCAAGGUACAUAUACAGAAAGAACUACAGAGGGACCAUGUUAAAACUGUUCUACAAGGGGAGAUAAUAGAACAUCAUAGAAUUCUUCCUCCUGAAGCCUCGUAUAGUGCAUGCGCUUGAGAUCGCGCUUGAGAUCUCUUCCUAUCAAGCUCCUCACUAAAAGAGAAUAAUAAUAGUAAUAAAAAAUCACGGAUAAUAAACAGUACUGCAUCGGUAAUGUAUACAUAAGGGGCCUUGCAAACAGGUCUAAACUGCAGAAAGAUAUUUUUAUGUUCAUCCUCUUUUCUGGCAAGAGCUAUUAAUCGUUUCAAAUGGUGGAUUAUGUACAUUAUCAUUUGUGAUUAUAAUCACAAGGACAGUACAGUGUAAUAGAUAUAAAAACAGAACAUGGUAGUAUAAUUUAUUUUUAAUAGUCCCUGACAUGAAAACAUGACGAAGGGGGGAAUUUCCCUGUCCAACAAUGUCUACCGUCAUUAAAAAGAACGACAAUUGAUCACCAAACCUAUGGAGUACUGAAAUUUCCUUUCAUUCCAGAACUUGUACUAUUCAAGACAACAACAUUUCAAGUGCACUUAAAUAUGUUUAACAAAAUGAAUGGUAAAUAAAUAAACAUACCCAGGGGAUGCACCUUCUGCCCGUCCUUUAGAAUGUAGAGUGUUUGUCCAUAUGGUACACAUAUGACAUCUCUUCCUCAGAACUUAGUGUUUGCCCAUAUGGCACAAAAUAGCAUCGGAAGAUUUACAGCUCGACGCCACGGAGCAUAGACACAAAUUCACCUACAGGUUGGAAGCAUAGGUAAAAAAACUUGAUUUAAU